rnacentral:lncRNA from 10 species
AAAACGAUUUUAGCUAAUAAUGAAAAAUGAAAAAGAAAUGAUAGAAUUAGAACAUCACCACUUUGUAACCCCCAAUAAAUUAAUGGAUUUAGGCAUUAUCAACAGUUUCUAACAUCACAGACAGACAAACAUGUGCCUCCUGAUUGAAAAAACAGAACAUCACCUGUAGUCUUGCCAGUGAGAUCAAACUGAAGUCCAAUUAACCUCUGGAUCCAGCUGCCAAUUUGCAGGAAAUAGAGGAGAGAAGCAUCUGUUGAACUGCACCAUGAGUAUACACUCAGCAAAGGCCAAACUGUGGAAAAUGAUACAGGUCAAACAGCCUGGAUUCUUUAACAGUAAGUGAUGUUUCUGAAGCACCAAUGAAAAUGAAGUCCUGAAGUCCUGUGCUCAAUAUGAAAUGUUGGAAGUUAGAAGAAAAAAACAAAACUUGGAUCCAAUCUCAAGGCACUUUUUGUUUAAUGGG